rnacentral:rRNA from 1 species
CCAGACUCCUACGGGAGGCAGCAGUGAGGAAUAUUGGUCAAUGGGCGCAAGCCUGAACCAGCCAAGUAGCGUGCAGGAUGACGGCCCUAUGGGUUGUAAACUGCUUUUUAAGGGGAAUAAAGAGGGGCACGCGUGCCCUGUUGCAUGUAGCCUUGGAAUAAGGACCGGCUAAUUCCGUGCCAGCAGCCGCGGUAAUACGGAAGGUCCAGGUGUUAUCCGGAUUUAUUGGGUUUAAAGGGAGCGUAGGCCGCAGGUUAAGUGUGUUGUGAAAAGCAGUCGCCCAACGUCUGCCUUGCAGCGCAAACUGUCCUGCUUGAGUGCGCACAACGCAGGCGGAAUUCGUCGUGUAGCGGUGAAAUGCUUAGAUAUGACGAAGAACUCCGAUUGCGAAGGCAGCUUGCGGGAGCGCAACUGACGCUGAAGCUCGAAAGUGCGGGUAUCGAACAGGAUUAGAUACCCUGGUAGUCCGCACGGUAAACGCUGGAUGCCCGUUUUUGGCUUAUUUUAAGUCAGAGACCAAGCGAAAGCAUUAAGCAUCCCACCUGGGGAGUACGCCGGCAACGGUGAAACUCAAAGGAAUUGACGGGGGCCCGCACAAG